AGNCGAGCGAAGCACUUUUGCCUAUUUCUUCGGAUUGAAGCAAUUGUGACUGAGCGGCGGACGGGUGAGUAACGCGUGGGUAACCUGCCUCAUACAGGGGGAUAACAGUUGGAAACGGCUGCUAAUACCGCAUAAGCGCACAGUACCGCAUGGUACCGUGUGAAAAACUCCGGUGGUAUGAGAUGGACCCGCGUCUGAUUAGCUAGUUGGUGGGGUAACGGCCUACCAAGGCGACGAUCAGUAGCCGACCUGAGAGGGUGACCGGCCACAUUGGGACUGAGACACGGCCCAAACUCCUACGGGAGGCAGCAGUGGGGAAUAUUGCACAAUGGGGGAAACCCUGAUGCAGCGACGCCGCGUGAGCGAAGAAGUAUUUCGGUAUGUAAAGCUCUAUCAGCAGGGAAGAAGAAAUGACGGUACCUGACUAAGAAGCACCGGCUAAAUACGUGCCAGCAGCCGCGGUAAUACGUAUGGUGCAAGCGUUAUCCGGAUUUACUGGGUGUAAAGGGAGCGCAGGCGGUACGGCAAGUCUGAUGUGAAAGCCCGGGGCUCAACCCCGGUACUGCAUUGGAAACUGUCGGACUAGAGUGUCGGAGGGGUAAGUGGAAUUCCUAGUGUAGCGGUGAAAUGCGUAGAUAUUAGGAGGAACACCAGUGGCGAAGGCGGCUUACUGGACG
rnacentral:rRNA from 1 species